rnacentral:rRNA from 1 species
UCGUCACACUAUCAUUAACUGAAUCCAUAGGUUAAUGAGGCGAACCGGGGGAACUGAAACAUCUAAGUACCCCGAGGAAAAGAAAUCAACCGAGAUUCCCCCAGUAGCGGCGAGCGAACGGGGAGGAGCCCAGAGCCUGAAUCAGCAUGUGUGUUAGUGGAAGCGUCUGGAAAGGCGCGCGAUACAGGGUGACAGCCCCGUACACAAAAGCGCAUGUGCUGUGAGCUCGAUGAGUAGGGCGGGACACGUGGUAUCCUGUCUGAAUAUGGGGGGACCAUCCUCCAAGGCUAAAUACUCCUGACUGACCGAUAGUGAACCAGUACCGUGAGGGAAAGGCGAAAAGAACCCCGGCGAGGGGAGUGAAAAAGAACCUGAAACCGUGUACGUACAAGCAGUGGGAGCACCCUUUGGGUGUGACUGCGUACCUUUUGUAUAAUGGGUCAGCGACUUAUAUUCUGUAGCAAGGUUAACCGAAUAGGGGAGCCGGAGGGAAACCGAGUCUUAACCGGGCGUUAAGUUGCAGGGUAUAGACCCGAAACCCGGUGAUCUAGCCAUGGGC